GUGAACCUUUACUAUAGCUUGACACUGAACAUUGAGCCUUGAUGUGUAGGAUAGGUGGGAGGCUUUGAAGUGUGGACGCCAGUCUGCAUGGAGCCGACCUUGAAAUACCACCCUUUAAUGUUUGAUGUUCUAACGUGGACCCGUUACCCGGGUUGCGGACAGUGUCUGGUGGGUAGUUUGACUGGGGCGGUCUCCUCCUAAAGAGUAACGGAGGAGCACGAAGGUUGGCUAAUCCUGGUCGGACAUCAGGAGGUUAGUGCAAUGGCAUAAGCCAGCUUGACUGCGAGCGUGACGGCGCGAGCAGGUGCGAAAGCAGGUCAUAGUGAUCCGGUGGUUCUGAAUGGAAGGGCCAUCGCUCAACGGAUAAAAGGUACUCCGGGGAUAACAGGCUGAUACCGCCCAAGAGUUCAUAUCGACGGCGGUGUUUGGCACCUCGAUGUCGGCUCAUCACAUCCUGGGGCUGAAGUAGGUCCCAAGGGUAUGGCUGUUCGCCAUUUAAAGUGGUACGCGAGCUGGGUUUAGAACGUCGUGAGACAGUUCGGUCCCUAUCUGCCGUGGGCGCUGGAGAACUGAGGGGGGCUGCUCCUAGUACGAGAGGACCGGAGUGGACGCAUCACUGGUGUUCGGGUUGUCAUGCCAAUGGCACUGCCCGGUAGCUAAAUGCGGAAGAGAUAAGUGCUGAAAGCAUCUAAGCACGAAACUUGCCCCGAGAUGAGUUCUCCCUGAGACUUAGAG
rnacentral:rRNA from 1 species